rnacentral:sRNA from 1 species
GAGUGGGUGGCUAUCCAGCUGCUGCGCCAGUGUUUGUGUUGGAAGCUCAGCUGAUGCAGGCCGGUUGGAGUGGACGUCAUUGCCGGGAACGAGCGAGUCGCCGCUGCAGCCCUAGUGACUGCGGCCUGCAUCCCGGAAAGAAUUAUUCCAUAUUUAUUACGACUGAGACAAAUUAAGGAUGAAACUCUUCAGGCUGUAGUUAGAGAAAUUUUGGCCCUAAUUGGCUAUGUGGAUCCAGUGAAAGGGAGAGGAAUCCGAAUUCUCUCAAUUGAUGGUGGAGGAACAAGGGGCGUGGUUGCUCUCCAGACCCUACGAAAAUUAGUUGAACUUACUCAGAAGCCAGUUCAUCAGCUCUUUGAUUACAUUUGUGGUGUAAGCACAGGUGCCAUAUUAGCUUUCAUGUUGGGGUUGUUUCAUAUGCCCUUGGAUGAAUGUGAGGAACUUUAUCGAAAAUUAGGAUCAGAUGUAUUUUCACAAAAUGUCAUUGUUGGAACAGUCAAAAUGAGUUGGAGCCAUGCAUUUUAUGACAGUCAAACAUGGGAAAACAUUCUAAAGUAAGUUACAAUUACUCUUUUUAAAUGUUCUGAUUAUAUAGGUAGUAUGUGCAUAUUAUAAUUUGAAAAAUGUCAAUAUUAAAUUAUAUUCUUGCAUAUUAUAAUUUGAAAAAUAUCAAGAAUAUCAAAUUAUUUGACUAAUUAGAGAUAACCACUG